GGGGAUAUGGCUCAGUUGGUAGAGUGAUUGCCACGUAUGCACAAGGCCUUGGGUUCAAUCCCAGCAUCACCA
rnacentral:tRNA from 1 species